rnacentral:rRNA from 1 species
UACGAAGGGGGCUAGCGUUGUUCGGAAUUACUGGGCGUAAAGCGCGCGCAGGCGGCCAUUCAAGUCAGGGGUGAAAGCCUGUGGCUCAACCACAGAAUGGCCUUCGAUACUGGGACGCUUGAGUAUGGUAGAGGUUGGUGGAACUGCGAGUGUAGAGGUGAAAUUCGUAGAUAUUCGGAAGAACACCAGUGGCGAAGGCGACUCGCUGGACAAGUAUUGACGCUGAGGUGCGAAAGCGUGGGGAGCAAACAGGG